GACGAACGCUGGCGGCGUGCUUAACACAUGCAAGUCGAACGGAAAGGCCCUGCUUUUGUGGGGUGCUCGAGUGGCGAACGGGUGAGUAACACGUGAGUAACCUGCCCUUGACUUUGGGAUAACUUCAGGAAACUGGGGCUAAUACCGGAUAGGAGCUCCUGCUGCAUGGUGGGGGUUGGACAGUUUCGGCGGUUGGGGAUGGACUCGCGGCUUAUCAGCUUGUUGGUGGGGUAGUGGCUUACCAAGGCUUUGACGGGUAGCCGGCCUGAGUGGGUGACCGGCCAGAUUUGGACUGAGAUACGGCGCAGACUCCUAAGGGAGGCAGCAGUGGGGAGUAUUGCACAAUGGGCGGAAGUCUGAUGCAGCAACGCCGCGUGCUGGAUGACGGCCUUCGGGUUGUAAACCGCUUUCGCCUGUGACGAAGCGUGAGUGACGGUAAUGGGUAAAGAAGCACCGGCUAACUACGUG
rnacentral:rRNA from 1 species